GACAGAGGUCCCAAGCGUUGUUCGGAUUCACUGGGCGUAAAGGGUGCGUAGGUGGCUUGGUAAGUUCGAUGUGAAAUCUCCGGGCUUAACCCGGAAAUGGCAUUGAAUACUAUUGAGCUGGAGGUUUGGAGGGGGGACUGGAAUUCUCGGUGUAGCAGUGAAAUGCGUAGAUAUCGAGAGGAACACCAGUGGCGAAGGCGAGUCCCUGGACAACACCUGACACUGAGGCACGAAAGCUAGGGGAGCAAACAGG
rnacentral:rRNA from 1 species